rnacentral:lncRNA from 10 species
UCCAUUUACUUUAAAAGCUGUGUUAAAAAAAAACACAGUUGCUUGCUGUUUCACUUGGCUUGAUGAAAAAGUGAAACCCAAUAUAUAAAGAAUUAUGAGUUCAUUUUCUUUCUUUUUUGGUGUAGAUUUUCAGCACAUAAUAAUUUAUACUGCAUUUCCUUCUAAUUAGACUGAACAGAAAUUUCAGCUAAAGCAGGCAUGAGCCCCCUAUUGUUUUAUUUGAAUAAUGAAUGAUCGGCAACCUGGCAUUUAAUCUAAUGCAGAAUGGGGAGCAGGUCUAGAAGGUUACCAUUGAGAGGGGGAAUGGCUGUUUUUAUUUAAAUGGAAACUUCGUAUUUGGUGACCUUGAUGUAUAAUGUUUUAUUUUUAUGUGUGUGUGCAAUUUUUAUUUUUUCACAGGGAGGUAAGACCGUGUGCUGUGGAGUUUUCUCUGGAGGCCUGUUCUCCUGGCUGGAUGUAUAUGACAGGUUUAGGCAUUAAAUGGCUUUAAGCUUGUCAAAGAAAGGUUAUUAAAAAUGUCCCUGCCUUUCAGGCUCCAUGCUCAGUAGGAGCCCAGAUGCAGUCCUCUGAGGCUGUCUUUCUAUUUAGUCAUGUCAUUUGGCUCUUUGCCUAUAGCAAAAAAUGAGACACCAUCUGUUAUUUUUCACUAAUGGCUGUCGGUCCCAAGCUUGCCUGGGUUGCUGUGCUUACCCUUUUCCCACCAGCCGCUGGACACAGGAACCAUCUUGGAUUUCCAGCUUUGCAGUUGGCCUUGCUAAAAAUUCUCCUCGGCUUACACAUGGAGUCUCGGAAUCCCAAAAAGACCCUCGAUGUCAACCUGUUGUCAGACUCUUGCAAACAGCACUCACUUGAAAAACGGUGGCUGAAAUGUCACUUAUCAUCAAGGCCGUGAUGUCUUUUCCAUUUCAAAACCUCAACAUGAGACAGUGCUUUGGGGAUGAACCUUUGUUAUAUAGCAAUAGAUAAUUGUUGUAUUAGACUAAAUCUUGGUAAAUUUUAUAGCUAGUAUAUAUUUUGUAGCUGAAGUUACAACAUUGUUACAUAGUUUAAAAACUCUGACUGUGUAUUAGUUAUAAUGAUGGAAUUGAAAAUACUGAAAAACCUA